GGCGCGAUGGCCGAGUGGUUAAGGCGACAGAUUAGAAUGUUGGAGUACAUGAUAUAUCUUAUCUGUUUCGGUUUCCGAGCGCAGGUUCAAGUCCUGCUCGCGUCG